AGAGUUAAAUAGUACGUGAAAUUGUUGAAAGGGAAACGAUUGAAGUCAGUCAUGCCGGUGAGAAUCAACUUUGGGGAAGGGGGAUUUUUUGAACCUAACCUUGAAGUGCACUUCUUCGCUUGGCAGGUUAGCGUCGAUUUUAAACGUCAUAAAAUGAUUGGGGGAAGGUAGCUCUUUCGGGAGUGUUAUAGCCCUUAAUUAAUGUGAUAUUUGGGAUCGAGGAUUGCAACGGAUACCUUUUUAGGCUAGCCGCCUGGCCUCUGAUUCGAUGUCGGGUUAUAGACAGCACGCUGACUAUGAUCUGAUUAUUGGUCAAAAGGUUAGAGCGAGCAUAAAUUCGUUAAGGACGCUGACGUAAUGGCUUUAAACGACC
rnacentral:ncRNA from 2 species